GUGUCAGCCGCCGCGGUAAUACGGAGGGGGCGAGCGUUGUUCGGAAUCACUGGGUGUAAAGGGUGCGUAGGCGGUGCGUUAAGUCUGAUGUGAAAGCCCUGGGCUCAACUCAGGAAUUGCAUUGGAAACUGGCGUGCUGGAGUACGGGAGAGGGAAGCGGAAUUCCUGGUGUAGCGGUGAAAUGCGUAGAUACCAGGAGGAACACCGGUGGCGAAGGCGGUUUCCUGGCCCAGUACUGACGCUGAGGCACGAAAGCGUGGGGAGCGAACGGGAUUAGAUACCCGCGUAGUCC
rnacentral:rRNA from 1 species